rnacentral:rRNA from 1 species
AGACGGAACCCGCACAAGCGGUGGAGUAUGUUGUUUAAUUCGAAGAUACACGAAGAACCUUACCAGGUCUUGACAUACCAUUGACAGGUCUAGAGAUAGACCCUCCUUCGGGCAAUGGAUACAGGUGGUGCAUGGUUGUCGUCAGCUCGUGCCGUGAGGUGUUGGGUUAAGUCCCGCAACGAGCGCAACCCUCAUUGUUAGUUACUACCAUUCAGUUGAGGACUCUAAUGAGACUGCCAACGACAAGUUGGAGGAAGGUGGGAUGACGUCAAAUCAUCAUGCCCUUUAUGACCUGGGCUACAAACGUACUACAAUGGCCAAUACAAAGAGAUGCGAAGCGGUGACGUGGAGCGAACCUCAGAAAGUUGGUCUCAGUUCAGAUUGUAGUCUGCAACUCGACUGCAUGAAGUCGGAAUCGCUAGUAAUCGCGGAUCAGCAUGUCGCGGUGAAUACGUUCCCGGGCCUU